CUUUUGGCUACUCCCUGAUCACAUUCAGGGUGCAAAAAUGCUAGGAGUGAACAGUUAACCAAUCCCCAUCCUGCACCAGCCCAUAUGACAGAAACUAUUUGGAAUUCUUUUACAGGAUGCGCUAGCUAAUGCAGAUAAGCUCUGUGGCAUCAAUUCACCCUCCAGAAGAAACCCAAAUAGCAACACAGGAUGAAGGUCAAGGAUUAACUGAUGCUAAUGGAAAUGUUCCCAGUGACCGUCCAGAUAAAAUAUUGUAUCUCAGCUGAUGAGGCCGGCACAUGAUGACAACACUACAAGCACCAAGAAAAUUGAUGCGAUGGCCUGUCUUAAGUUGGCUUCCUCUAUUGGUCUUUUAUCUGACAAGACACCUUUGGCAAAGUCUCAUCAAUAUGCUACUUUUCAUCUGCCUGACACUGAAAUCAAUGGACUGCAGAAGAAGCCUCUCGAUCAGCAUUGUCAGAAAUGAUCACCAUGCUGGACGGAGCAUGCUACCUGAUUUCUCCUGACUGAACUCCCACAAAAGCAUGGCUGCAAAUCCCAGAGAAAGAAGAAAGAGAACUUACAUAAAGGAGGCUUUCUGGAGAACUCGCUGUAAGAGGGUCAAUGCGGAAAUAUGGAAUGUGCUUAGGAGUCCACUGAAGCAGCCCAGGUAAGAGACAACUGACUUACAGUGGUUGGGGAGUGAGAAGUAGUCAGAUUCAGGAUAUACUCAUAGCCUCACACAUCAAUAUCCUUAGACAGGGAAAAAGAGAAUAUCCCUCCAGUGUCCCUUUUAAACAGCAAUCAUAUCACCCACCUGCUCAGAACUCUCCAAACACUUCCCACAUUAUGAGAAAAUUCAAGAUUCUAAUCAUGGCUAGACGGUCCUUCUGAUCCAAUGUACCACCUCUGAGAUCUCAUUUCUUGCCAAUUUCCUUGGUCACUCCUUUCCAGCCAUGUUUACUUCCUUGCUGUUUCCCAAACACAUCAAACAUGUCCCUACCCUUGGGGCUUUGAACUUGUCUGGAAGCUCUCUUCUCCAGAAGUUCCCACAGUGUACUCCCCUCCUUCAUUUAGGUCUUACCUUGUAGGCCAAAGAAGAAUUCUCUGAUAACUAUUUAUAAAGUAACAGCUCCAGCCAGGCUCGAUGGCUCACACCUCGAAUCCCAGCACAUUGGGAGGCCAAGGCAGGAGGAUCACUUGAACCCAGAAGCUCAAGACCAGUCUGGGCAACAUGGAGAAACUUCAUCUCUACAAAAAAAUACAAAAGUUAGCCAGGCAUGGUGGCAUGCUCCUGUGGUCCCAGCCAAUUGGGAGGCUAGGGUGGGAGGAUCACUUGGGCCCAGGAGUUCAAGGCUGCAGUGAGCUGUGAUCACACCACUGCACUCCAGCCUGGGUGAUAGAGUGAGACUCUGCCUCCAAAAAAAGAAAAGAAAAAAAAAAAGGAACACCUCCUUCAACACUAUUUUACCUUGCACAGCAAUAUUGUUCUUCACAGCACUUUUCACUACUUGAAAUAUAUGUAUCACCCCCUCCCCUUUUGUGAGCCUCUGUUUUCUUUAAAGUGUAACUUGAUGAAGGCAGAUAAUUUGUUUCUUAUCUAAUAACAGAGCAGGAGAUCUAUCUGGAAACUUAUAGCCAGCUUAUUCCACUGGGUCCACUCAGUCCCACUGUAUUUUCAGUACCUACAACCUUAGCACAUAAUAUUCACUCAGUGAACAAUUGUGAAAUAAAUGAAUAAAAGUAAUGCCUAGAGCUGCUACAGCCAUCCCGUGACCAUAAAGAAAUUUCUUGACAAGUGGUGGAAGGUGCAGCACAAAGACUAAAAGAACCUGGAUCCACGGGGAAGCCCCUAAGCUGUGGAAUCCAUCAUUUCAGUAAGAGCCCUAGCUUUUAGUUGUCAUAUGAGACAAUAAGUUCAGCCACUUUAAUUUGGAAUUGCUGCUUACUCCACAACUAGGACUGCCCUAACUGCUGCGUAAUUUUAAUCUUCUAGAAAAAUAUCACAUUUCAAUUUCUAGAAUAUGUCAUCCAAGAGCAUUUUCCUUUCCCAUUUCUCAUACAAUCUGCAUAAAUUCA
ensembl:lincRNA